rnacentral:rRNA from 1 species
UACGUAGGGGGCUAGCGUUGUCCGGAAUCAUUGGGCGUAAAGCGCGUGUAGGCGGCUUGGUAAGUCCGCUCUGAAAGCCCGAGGCUCAACCUCGGGGAGGCGGGUGGAUACUGCUGGGCUCGAGUCCGGAAGAGGCGAGUGGAAUUCCCGGUGUGAGCGGUGAAAUGCGCAGAUAUCGGGAGGAACACCAAGGCGAAGGCAGCUCGCUGGGACGGUACUGACGCUGAGACGCGAAAGCGUGGGGAGCAAACAGGG